UGGAGUCGGUAUCUGGAUUAAAAAUCCCAUGCCUCGACUGGGAUUCGAACCCAGUACCUACCAGCCUGUAGACCGAUGACCUAACCACGUCGCCACCGAGGCCGGUAAGUGACAAAAGAAGUGCAUGGAGCAAAAUAAUAAUAAAAUAGUUUGCUUUACAAUGAUGUGAUAAACAGAAAACGCUGAAAUAUUUACAUAUUGUCAUUUCAAAUAUAUAUUUAAAAGAUAAUUUCUGUUUCAACUAAUAUCAGAGGUGAUUCAUUUAGACUAUAGGAUUAUGAACAUGGUGUUCGUAUUUUUUUCCGUUUCUUUUGUGCUCGGUAUGCAAAGACAGUUACUAGUUCAGAAACACCCAGCUAACCAAUAUGUUACAUUUUACCAGCUAAAUGUUUUUUCUUUCUUUUAAAGUAUUUUCGAGCUUAAUAGGAGGUAUUUGUAACCAAGCACUCAGUCCACUCACCCAUUCCAAGGUCGUAUCCAAAACGAGGCUAUAGGGGCAGAGUCGAGAAGACGCCAUAACUAACUACGACCUGCUUACAGUUUAUUAAUGAAUAUGAAAACUGAUCUUCAUGGGUCACACACGGAUAUGUCGAGACACAUGGAUGUAUCUAAUGGAAACCUCAAGGGACACGUUAACGAAAAUCAAGCGUCACUAUGAGGAAAAAGGCUUGGUUCCAAGAGUAAAAAAAUCAGGUGAAUGUAGAUGAGAAAUCCAAAUGGAGAGGUAUUGAACAAACAAGAACGGACCCUCUUCUUGCUAUAGUCGAACGAUCGUUUUAUCAAGCCAAGUGCAGUGAUGCCAAAACAACAGCCGCAACAUACGGAAUUUCUAGGUUGGAACCAUCAAGACCAAACUCAAAGGACAUACACUUUAACUACUCCUUCGAUUAUACACAACAGGUGCACUAUCCUGCCGAUCCAAGGAAGUGGGAGUGCCAGGUGUUCGGUAUACAUGCAGAAGGAAUAACAUGUCAGAUAAAUGAUUUGAUUGACGAAACAAGGGCGCAAAUGCUGUCAUCAGCCUCCUACACCACUUCCUGGAGAACUAUGGAAUUGGUGAAAUGCACCUCGAACUUAAUGCAGAUAACUGCAGUGGCCAGAACAAAAACAACUGUGUAAUGUGGUACAUUUGCUGGCGUAGUCUCGUGGGACGUCAUACCACAAGUUACAUACACUUCAUGUUAGCAGACCACACUAGAUUAUAAAUGGUGGAGAUGCAACGAUCCUUACCAGUGAACGGAGCAACCCCAGUCAACUAUAGGUUUUGGGGCUAACUCUGGCAACCACCAAACUACUGUAGCUUACUGGGAAUUUAAAAACCUAAAUGACAAAUAUUAUUUUAAAUUGGCAAAAUAAUUUCAUGAUACACAGGUAAUUGAUUUUUUUUGUGGGAAAAUAACUGGGUUUACAGAUAAUUUGGAGAAAUGAUUUGCUUGUAAAGGAAAAAUUCAUAAUUUAUUAUUAUAAAAAAGUUUGAAGGCCUA